rnacentral:rRNA from 1 species
GAUGAACGCUGGCGGCGUGCCUAAUACAUGCAAGUCGAACGAAACUUCUUUAUCACCGAGUGCUUGCACUCACCGAUAAAGAGUUGAGUGGCGAACGGGUGAGUAACACGUUGGCAACCUGCCCAAAAGAGGGGGAUAACACUUGGAAACAGGUGCUAAUACCGCAUAACCAUAGUUACCGCAUGGUAACUAUGUAAAAGGUGGCUAUACUACCGCUUUUGGAUGGGCCCGCGGCGCAUUAGCUAGUUGGUAGGGUAAAGGCUUACCAAGGCAAUGAUGCGUAGCCGAAUUGAGAGGUUGAUCGGCCACAUUGGGACUGAGACACGGCCCAAACUCCUACGGGAGGCAGCAGUAGGGAAUCUUCCACAAUGGGCGAAAGCCUGAUGGAGCAACGCCGCGUGGGUGAAGAAGGUCUUCGGAUCGUAAAACCCUGUUGUUAGAGAAGAAAGUGCGUGAGAGUAACUGUUCACGUUUCGACGGUAUCUAACCAGAAAGCCACGGCUAACUACGUG